rnacentral:rRNA from 1 species
UCCUACGGGAGGCAGCAGUGAGGAAUAUUGGUCAAUGGCCGCAGGGCUGAACCAGCUAAGUCGCGUGAGGGAUGACGGUCCUAUGGAUUGUAAACCUCUUUUGUCAGGGAGCAAAGGGCGCCACGUGUGGCGUUUUGCGAGUACCUGAAGAAAAAGCAUCGGCUAACUCCGUGCCAGCAGCCGCGGUAAUACGGAGGAUGCGAGCGUUAUCCGGAUUUAUUGGGUUUAAAGGGUGCGCAGGCGGAAUGUCAAGUCAGCGGUAAAAUUUCGGGGCUUAACCCCGGCGUGCCGUUGAAACUGGCGUU